UGCAUCUGGCACCACUGGGAUUGUUUUGGGUACUGCAUCUGGCACCACUGGGACUGUUUUGGGUACUGCAUCUGGCACCACUGGGAUUGUUUUGGGUACUGCAUCUGGCACCACUGGGACUGUUUUGGGUACUACAUCUGGCACCACUGGGACUGUUUUGGGUACUACAUCUGGCACCACUGGGACUGUUCUGGGUACUGCAUCUGGCACCACUGGGACUGUUUCAGGUACUACAUCUGGCACCACUGGGACUGUUUCGGGUACUGCAUCUGUCACUACUUUGCGGGGGUCUGUAGGCCUACAUCCUGUGGAUGGUAGGCUUAUAAAUACAGAGAAACUUAUUAUAAGCCAUUAUAAUUAACAGUUGAAUUCUACCCUCCAAUAAUAAAUGUUUUGCACUGUAAAGUUAACUAAAAAGAAGAUUUACUAAAAUUAGAGUUCACAGAUGGCUGUACUGGAUCUGUGAACAUCUGUUAUCACCUUUUUUCGGCGAUGUAUUCUACUCUUUCAAUGUGAAUAGGUUCCUCCUGUGCAAAUACAGGUUUCAAAUAACUAAUAAAAGGUUGUUAAAAAGACCAGGAGCAGAGCUGUAGAUGAUUCUGUAAUAACUAUGAAAGCUGUAAAGCAUCAAAAAUAAGAUAUAGUAAAAUUAAUAGCCAAAAUGUGUCUGUUUUAAAAGUGGUUAUAAAAUCUUGGCCACAUGAUAAAAUAACUGUAAAAAGUACAGUAUAGUAAUUUUUUAAAGUUUUAAGUUUUGCCAAAACUUUAACUAUUGACGAUCAUUUAAAAACACCUUUUAACAUCUAGUUAAGGAUAUUUGAACUGAUUUCUUGGGUGGAGAAAAUAGCUGGUCAUGGAUUAUAUAGCAUGAAUGGAGAUUCUCCAUUGAAAGAAGAAUAUAGUCCAGGACUAAGCAUAAUCCCUAUCUGGGAAACCAACCUUAUGUUAUAACUGCACCUAAAUAACAAAACUGUUAACAUGACAAGUGAUGCCAAACUGUUGAACUGUGGCAUAUUUUGUGAAAUAACUCUUGUUCUCUUCUUCCAGCUGAAGUUUCAGGACUGUUUGCUCCAUACAUUAAUAACCCAGUCAGAUCCAGGAGGCAGUUUAGGCGUGUCCACACCAACACACUCUUCACAGACACUCAUACAUUUUGCUGUCUUGGACGGAAAGAUACAACUACAGUACCAACGAGAGUCACCAAAGAACACCUUCAGAGGGGGGGCUGGGUGAGAAGCGUCUGAACGUCCGAGGUAUGAAACCUGAUAUCAUAUUUAAAAAACAACAGUUAAAGUCAGAGACUGAGAGACAUCAGAUACUGAUAGUCUCCAUUUAUCAUUUGUGUCUAUUAGAUUCGAUCGAGCACAUUCAUAUGUGGGAACGCCCCUAAUAAGCCAACUUAACCCUGCUGAAAAAAACAGCACAGACCUGCAUGAAUUCUUUGCUGGUCUAAGCUGGUUUAUGUUGGUCUGGUGCUGGUUUAGCUAGUCACCCAGUAUGGUCAUGCUGGUUGAUUAGCAUUCCAGUAUCCUAAACAAAACAUAUGCUGGUGCUUGUCUGUGUUGUUUUUUUCUAGCGGGGACUUUUCAUAUGGAUUUGUCAGGUUUAAUGAUCAUAUAAUGAAAUGAAGUAUGAACCUCUCUUUUAACAUAAUCAAGGAAUUUUAUAUAAUUUAUUACAAGUGUAACACAAAGAUCAGAAACGGUGGAAAGUCUGGGGGGUACUUAAAUGGGCCCCACAUACCUUUUAAGGCAAUUUCUGUGAAGCCCCUAGCUCAGAGAAGUAAUAUAUAUCUAAAUCUUGAGCAACAUUGUCAUAUGUAAUUAAUUAAUUUGUCAAUCUGUGUAUUUUGUGAAUAUUAAUAUCAGUUACCUUAUUUGUCGUAAUCGUGAAGCAAGUUUUUUUUCCUGGAUCACAUUUUACCGCAGAGUUUUCAUGAUGAGUUUUAGGACAGAAACAGGGCACACAAACAUUUUAAACUAAAAGUUAUAAAAGACAGUGGUUCUAAAACUCACAGUCACAGAAGUGAAACUGAAGUUGUGUAUUGUUUGUCAUUUCACUCACGAGAGUUUGUGGAGUUCCUUUUCAUUUCAUUUCCAAAACUGAGAGAUGCAGGCGGGUUUGAGCUGAUGAGAAGUUCAGGAACCACAAGGAGCCGUCAUCUUGUAGUCGUGCCUUGCCCCAGUGAAGGACACACCGUGAGAUGUCUGAAGGAUCCUAGCACUGUGAUAAAUCAUGCACUCUUUACAUUCGCCCCCUGCAGAGGACUUUGAGUCCAGAGCGUGUAAGACUGGAUUUGUCAGUUCAUGUUGUUUCAUUUACCAGUCCAUCAAGUAAAUGUGAGGACUGUUGUGCAAUAUUGAAAACUAUAAAUUAGCUAAAUUAUUCGUCAUUAACCAAGUUAUUUAUCAUAUGUUACGUAAAGAUCCAAAUGUCAUGUCAUUGCUGUGGGUGUUCUGUCUUUACAAAUAGGAACUAAAUGAAGGACCAGUUGAUGCCCAGACUGGACCCUUGAUGCCAUGUCUGAACUGUGGAGAGGAAUUUCCCUUUUCACAGAUAAGACGACACAGUGAAGACGGCUCAAGGUGCUGCUUUGAGUGUAACGAUGAUUAUUAUGAUCAUGUUUUAGCAGUUAUCUUUGUUUCUUUGUGAGGUAAAUGCAGCUGAAUUUAUCUUAUUAUUAUCUGUCAUAUGGAAAAAACAGUCUAUAACCUUUUUUCUUAUUUUAGAAAAUGCAAUACUGUGUGGACUUUGUUGCGUGUGUAGUUAACAGUCCACUCCAAAAUUAGGCUUUAAGCAGGAUGCAGAAGGCUUUAAAAUGAUUCUCCAUCCUCAAAGAAAGUUUGAGAAGCCCUGCCGUAGGGGUCGGUCAUAUAUUGCUUAGUUCUGGUCAAAGAAUAAUAUAGACUUUGAACUGUAGAGAUAUAUGGACACAAAGUGUGGUACUUCAUUCUUUGUUUAGGUAUAACUAAAUAUAUUAUGAAGUGCAUGGAGAACGCUUAUCAUCUAACUCAGCUUUUCUCAGGUGAACUGCAGGUGAAAGGGAGAAAGAGAAUGAAAGAGAGAGAGAGAGUGCAGCUGUCCCUAGAACCAUUUUGACCUCUGCCUCCACCUCUCAGCACCCCGUUGUAGAUUUGGUGAUGGAGGAGAGUCUGGAGACAGGUUCAGUUGAGGGUUUGUACUCAGUGUGUUACAGAUUAAAGGACAAGUCAGGAGUUUACAGAAUUUAAGGUUUCUGAAUAUUUUCUGAAUAUUUUUCAGAAUUUCUGUGGCACUUUAAAUUUGAGUUGCCCAUUAGGAUAAAUGUACCAGGGAGUCAGACCCCUCGCCUGGUGAUGGACAGAUGUAGAUUUUUAAUUCUACUGCCUGAUAUUUUAUGUCUGUCUGUACAGCAAACUCAUCUGGCACUUCAGUGUCCAGGAGUCCAGUAUGUGUUGAUGGUCAGCACAUGCCCAACAGUGUACUUUAUCUCUCAGGUGAUCCUGGAAAGUCCAUAAGAAAUUGCUUUUUAAAAUGUUAAACCUUACUGGACAGAAUCAAUCUGAACAUCUCAAGCGACUCAGAAUUUUUUAUGUAUAUUUUUUGCAUUUCAUAUUUUUUUUGAUGUGUAUAUUAAAUCUGACUCUGUUUUUCUGUUAAGCUUGGAUUACAGAACCAGAUCCAGCCAAGGCAGUUCAGCUGUUCACCCAGUCAACACUCGAGGCUAAUAAAGACACAGACAACCUGAACUUCACCCUGAGCUUGAGGGAUUCCUUGGUGGAAAGGAACAGGGCUAUCAUUACUUUUUACAAAAGGCCAAAGGUGCAGUGGUCUAAUCCACUGCAGUGCAAAUUGACUGGUAAUGAUCCUAAUUAUUGAUUAAAUAACACAGUCAUAAAACAUACUGAGAAUGACGCAUAAUAUACCUAUUAAGUACCACCUAAGAAUGUGCAUAUGAUGGGUGAUUGACAUAUGACCUUGUGGGACGAACAAUGAUUUUUGGUAAAUCAUUUAUUGAUACAUCAUCUUUGGUAAAUCAUCAUUUAGCCUGUUUCUUAUUUAUGAAAUUACGUCACCUGAUUUAUUUAGUCACACUGGGGCUGUAGUUAUCCUCCAGUUGCUGGCUUGCUUCUUUUUUCUUUAGACUUUCAGUCGUUCAUUAUGGCUACAUUUAUAAGAAAAAUGAGGAGAUAUUAAUAAUAGACUUUAAAAAGUUAAUAUGUGUAAAAUCUCAGAGACCCCAAUUACAGAGUUAUUGUCAAACAUUCACAAAAACCAAUACAAAGCAAUAUUGGAGACGCAGCAUCAAAGCAAAAUUUGUAUCAUCUCCAGAGGAACUUGAUCACAUGCCUCGUCUGCUGGCCUUUAGAAUGUAAUGCUUACUCAGAGGAGGCAGUUCAUUAGAUACGUACUGGGUACGUUCUCUGUAUUCUCACAUAUGAAACUUUGAUUUGCUUGAUUCUUGAAGUCGUCUCAGCAAUGGUAAGCAGGGACGAAGUCUGCUUCACUGCAUUGCCUGACUUUCAGUGUUUCAAUUUGAAAGGUGACACAGCAAUCGGUGAGGGAGUCAACAGGUAUGUGCUGUCUACAGUGAUGGAACAUCUUCAGAAUGGCUUCCUUCUUGAGGAAGAGACGGGUACAUCUACUGAUUUUGGUAGCCUUGCAGCCUUUUAAAACACACUUUUGUCCCUUUAAAAUGGACACCCGUCAAUCAAAAUUAAUUGUGUUAAUUGUGUAAAGACUUUGCUCUUUGAGGGCGAGCAAGACCAUCUUGUUCCUUCCACAUCUCGGGCACUUUUGGAAAGUGAUUUUUGUGUCAUAGCUGGACGCAUAAUUGGGCACUGUUUUUUAAAUGAUGGCCCACGUCUUGCUGGGUUGAGCCCUGCCAUAGUGCAUGUACUCUUUGGAGGGGAGCAAGAGACGGCAGCAAUUAGCGUAUCUGACUGCGUGGACCAGGAUGUUCGGGAUGUCAUCCACCUGGUUUGGGAAAAAAUAUUUUUAAUUUUAGUUUAUUUACCAAAGCCAUUUUUAAAUAUGUUUACUUUCUUCAAAAGACACAUUAUUUGUAAUGUCUGUUCUGAGCUUGUAAAUUUGUUUGCAUUUGAACCUUUUUGCAAACUCUCAGUUUUCAUUGAACCCUCUGAUGUCUUUAAUCAGUUGGAAGGAACCCAGGAACUUUCUGAGGACCAGAAAUCCAUGGUCCUCUCUGUGAGCUGCCCUGGGACUUGCCUGGUGUUACGUCAGAAAACAGGUGGUGGCUUAGGGAGAAAAUUCUUCUCCAUGCCGUUCUUGGAAGAACUACCAAGCAAGUGAAGCAAAUUAAGAGAGGCCUGAAAGACACUGGUGUUUCGGAGCUUUUCAGCUCUGGACCAGACACUGUGCCAAUCUUGUUCCCAAGGGCCACUGAGACAGAGAUAACAUCUCAAAUGAUUCUGGACGAGAUUAUCUGGCCACGGGAGGAAGAUGUUGAUGAAGACGUCCUCACGCUGGAGGACCAGUGCCGUGUGCUAGGCUGUUUCCGGAAGUUUAUAGAAACUGGGUCCUCUGAGGUCUUGAAGAGUUUGCUGUCAUUCUGGACUGGCUGGGAUGUCCUUCCCCCAUCACUGGAGGUGGAAGUUGUUGAUUGUGACCUUCCCCAAUCAUCAACAGGCUUUUUAACUCUAAAGCUUUCGAAAAAUACUGCAAAUUAUGAAGAUUUCCUCUGAGACCUGAUGGCAAGCAUCUCCUCCUCCUACUCUGGAUUCGGUCAGAUUUGAGCCAAAGACAACAUUAACACUUUUUGUUGCAAAGCUUUAUUUGCAUUUUUUGUUUAAUAAAAUUGGUGAGAUUUCAUACAUGCAUUACUGUUAACUGUUCAAUUAGAACAAUG